UACGUAGGGGGCGAGCGUUGUCCGGAUUUAUUGGGCGUAAAGAGCGUGUAGGCGGCCAGGUAGGUCCGUUGUGAAAACUCGAGGCUCAACCUCGAGACGUCGGCGGAAACCCUCUGGCUAGAGUCCGGAAGAGGAGAGUGGAAUUCCUGGUGUAGCGGUGAAAUGCGCAGAUAUCAGGAAGAACACCAAUAGCGAAGGCAGCUCGCUGGGACGUUACUGACACUGAGGCGCGAAAGCGUGGGGAGCGAACAGG
rnacentral:rRNA from 1 species